GCCUGGCAGCGGUGGAGCUUGCUGCUUUUGCCCGAGCUCUCUCUGCACGCCCCCUAUUCGCCCCCGCCCGCCCGAGUCACCUCUUUACGCGCCCCCGCCCCUUUCGAGCUAGCGCUCACCACCACCCCUCCUCUAUCCGCCCUCCUCCCCUUCCCCCUUCCCUCUGGCCCUCCCUUCAUUCCACAAGUGUCGCUUCUCUCUCUCUCUCCAGCGCACUUGGCGUGCUAGAGAGGUGAAGAGCAUCCUGCGAGCGAGCGGACGUGGGGAGCCGAGUCCCGGGUGGCGGGUGGAAGGGAGUUACGGACACAGCGACUCUCUCCUGUUUUCCACCCCCGCCUCCCCCGGUGGCCAGCAGGACCUGCACCCCGCGCUGGCCCCCGCUCCUGCUCCGUCCCCGCCCGGCCCCGGCGCGCUCCUCCCCGGCCGGCCCCCUUCCUCGGCGCGCGUCGCGCUGGAGGCGAACGCAGUCUGAGCCGAGCGCAGUGGCCGCCGACCACCGAGCGCCCCGCGCCGCCUCCCUGCAUGUGCGGCCAGCGGCGGCCCGCAGCCCCCGCCAGCAGCCUCGGCAGCUUCGGCCGCGCGUCCAGAGGCGGCGGUAGCGGCUCCAGCGGCGGCCGAGCGCUCCAGCCCGGGUUGGGAGACACGAUGCGCCGAGUCCUUCGGCUGCUUCUCGGCUGCUUCCUCACCGAGCUGUGUGCCCGCAUGUGCCGGGCGCAGGAGCGAUCUGGGCACGGGCAGCUAGCGCAACUGGGCGGCGUACUGCUGCUCACAGGGGGCAACCGCUCCGGAGCCGCCUCCGGAGAGGCCGGCGAGGGCGUCGGGGGCUCGGACGCACCGCCGACUCGAGCGCCCACGCCAGACUCCUGUCGGGGCUACUUCGAUGUCAUGGGCCAGUGGGACCCGCCGUUCAACUGCAGCUCGGGCGACUUCAUCUUCUGCUGCGGGACUUGUGGCUUCCGGUUCUGCUGCACGUUUAAGAAGCGGCGACUGAACCAGAGCACCUGUACCAACUACGACACGCCACUCUGGCUUAACACGGGCAAGCCCCCAGCGCGUAAGGAUGACCCCUUGCACGACCCCACCAAGGACAAGACCAACCUUAUCGUCUACAUCAUCUGCGGGGUGGUGGCUGUCAUGGUGCUGGUGGGCAUCUUCACCAAGCUGGGGCUGGAGAAAGCGCACCGGCCCCAAAGGGAACACAUGUCCAGAGCCCUUGCGGAUGUCAUGAGGCCACAGGGCCACUGCAACACUGACCACAUGGAGAGAGACCUUAACAUCGUGGUCCACGUGCAGCAUUAUGAGAACAUGGACUCAAGAACCCCCAUAAAUAAUCUCCGUGGGAGCUCAGUGAUCCAUCAGGUUGAUGGAGCCUUGGUCAGCCCAUGUGUGUGGAUGGUGACAUUUGCAGCUGUGCCAAUGAAGCAGAGGAUGUCUUAGGAGCAAACCUUCCCAGGGUGCUUGUCUGUGUUCUCUCUGGUCACAUCUCAUCUCAUUACCACAAAACUCAUCACUGCUGGGGUCCGGUGGUCAUCUCUGCUCUCCCCUCAUCUGAGUAUACCACUCAGAUGAACAACGCAGUGCCCACUUCUCCUCUGCUCCAGCAGAUGGGACACCCACAUUCAUACCCCAACCUGGGUCAGAUUUCUAAUCCAUAUGAACAGCAGCCUCCAGGCAAAGAGCUCAACAAGUACGCCUCCUUAAAGGCAGUAGGAAAUUCUGAUGGUGACUGGGCAGUGGCAACGCUUAAGUCACCAAAAGCUGACAAGGUCAAUGAUGACUUCUACGCCAAAAGAAGGCACCUGGCAGAGCUGGCUGUCAAGGGAAAUCUCCCUUUGCACCCUGUAAGAGUGGAAGAUGAGCCUCGCGCCUUCAGCCCAGAGCACGGGCCUGCACAGCAGAAUGGACAGAAGUCUCGCACCAACAAGAUGCCCCCACAUCCCCUGGCCUACAACUCUACUGCCAACUUUAAGACCUGGGACCCCAGUGACCAGUCUCUCCGGCGGCAGGCUUAUGGCAACAAGGGCAAGCUUGGCAUAGCUGAGUCAGGCUCUUGUGACCCCUUGGGGACUCGCACCCAGCACUUCCCACCCACACAGCCAUAUUUCAUCACUAACAGCAAAACAGAAGUGACUGUCUGAGCUUUUACUUCAGGGAGCACCCUGGAGACCACACUCAACUGAAAGAGGCAAAAAAUAUCAUCCCACUUACACCUUCCUGGUCCUGUACACCCCACUCCCAACCCCUCAGCAGACACACACUCCGGGUGUUCUACAGGAACCAACCACAGACCUACUCAUAAGGAGUCAUGCUUUUCCUGGGUCAUGCCUACUAUGCUCCCGCAGGCAGCUGAGCGAGACCGAAGCAUGGACAUUCAGCAAUAUAGAGGGGAAACUUUCAGCUUCAGGCCCAAAUUGUGGGGGCUCAUUUCCUUUUCCCCCAAGAGAAAACUGAAAUCCAUUUUAACAGAUAUAUAAGUAGCACAAUUUAGACAAACUGCCCAUGGAGCGCAUUGGGUCCCCCUGUUCUGUCUUUCCUGGUAGAAGAAAAAGGAUGGGCACACGAAGAGGAGUGUGCCAGAGUGCUUGGGAAGGAAUUUGCUCAUGUCACAAGCAUUUCCUUGUCCCAAGAAGUGAUGCAAACACAGAAUAGUGAAAAGUGUGAGGUAGUAAUGGACCCUGAGUGUCACACUGAUGGAACAUUGCAUACCAUUGAAGCUGAAAGCAAAAAGCUCACAAAGUAAGUCUUCUCUAAGCCCUUGGUCAAUGAUGGAAAGGGGAGAACAUUCUAAAGAACUCCCUGGAAGACCAUGAUGUUGGCAGUGAUAGGUUUUUAUGAUGGCCAAGGGGUCCAGAGAAUAAUAAAGAAGAACUUCUAAAGUGACACAUUAAAUGAACACACAAAAUAUUAGUUUUGCCCGGGACUUAGAGAACCUGCAGUUGGAGAGUUAACAGCAGGUGAGAGGCACAGAGGAGCCUUCACUUCCCGGGUCAUCUCCAAGAACUGGAACAAAGACAAAAACCAUCCUCUAUGAACAGUCUGUCCCCACCACUCUUUCCCUUUCAGCGUGCCGCUGCCACUGCUGCCAAACUUCAACUGCUUUGGAGUGAAAAAUGUCAUAAGUGUGGGUGGUGCCUUCAGUGUGUCGCUGUUGUUCAAGUGAUGGUCUCGUUUCCCAAGUGCAUCCUCUGUUCCUUUAACCUUCCUGCCUCCUGUUUUCCUGCAGUAGUGAUGUUGUCUUUCCUUUGUAGGUGAGCCCAGACAAUUAACACCCUUUGAAGGAGCUGCUACAAUGUCAGAGGUACCUAAGAAUACCCCAGUUCCCACCCUCCCACCAGAUUACCUCCAGGGGCACCCUCAUGCCAUCCUUUCUUACCUGGACUCUCCCAAAGUUGCGUUAAAGAUUGGUUCCAUCAGCCACAGCCAUUGGAUCCCAACAAGGAAGGUCCCCCUGAAAGUCUUUUGUUUAGUGGAAGGGCAGACAGGUGCAUGGAGAGGCAAGAGAGUUUUGUUUAGAAAGAAGAGUCUGCAACUAUCCCCUGGAACUCUGAGCUAAUUUACAGGAAUCUUCUAAAACCUCACAGCUUCUUUGGUGUAAAAAUCUAGUGAAAUAGAAUUGGAGCAUCCCAUGUGGUGAUGUUCUGCUGCCUGGGCUCUCGGCAUCACAGCAUCAGCAUACCAGAUAGUUUCCAUGUUCCAAGCAAGUAGGAAGAAUUUGGCAAUAUCUUUGAUCUUUCCAGGGCUGUGUCCCAUCUGAAGCAUGGGGAAUCUGACUUAAGUAAAGCCUUUUCAGUUUUUUAAAAACAGUACUCUGUUCUUAUUUACAAAAGAAAUUCUGCAAAGUCCAAACUUUAUAAGAUUCUAAAAAAGAAGAGGUGCAGAGGCUAACACAGAGGUCGGAGUAAAUGUUGAGAGCCCUGCACUCUCGAUAGAGCAGUAUGAGCUACUGGCUUGCACAUCUCUCUUUGACAUGAGUUAAUUAUGUCCUCGCCACACAUCAGCAUCCGGGGAUUAUCAUCACAGUAUUUGGUAUCUGAAUGCAUUUGCUUUUAAGCCAUGUUAUUUUAAAAGGGAAGCAUUUUGUAUUUAUCACAUAUAGAACACUAGCAUCCAUUGCCAUGAACAGACAAUAAACAUUAUGGGAAACAUAUUGGCCUCAAAGACAAAACUCUAGUGGACAUCUGGCCUGCUCUCUUGUUUCUCAAAAAGACCUUAGUCUAGUUAAAGAUACUGGUACACAAUAGAGAGUUUGUCCUUGGAAUAAUCCAGUGAAGGGGAAAGCAGAUGAAAAAAAAAGAAAACCUCCCUUUUUUAAGUUGGUGUUAGAUCGUGCCCUCUAUCCAUAUGCUACCUCCAUGACAUACAAUUUGCAUGCACUAGUGACAUACAGUCCUACUUCAAGAAGUACUUACCUGAAACGUUCUUUUCAGGUCAAGUUCUGCAAUCUUUUCCUUCCUUCCAGCUCAAUUUCCCCUCUCCACUCCCUUCACUUCCCCUUCAUCUAACUCUAACUUAAAAGUCUUUCUUGAUCUUUAGUCUAUUUCUUACUCAUCCUUCUUUUUGAAGAUGACUUCAUCCAAGUAGACGUGGCUCCUUGGUCUGCAAUUGUAAUUUUGACUUCCAAGACAGAGUCUGGCCACUAGCAGGUAGCAUAUACUUCCCAAGUAAUUCGGUCAUAGACAGCUCGCACAGUGCUUGCUCGUUGCUUCCUGUUUGACUUUGGGAGAUGAACUGUGGAGUGACAAUCAGUAGAGAAUAUCUGUUUAUUCUUUGCCUUCCUCUUGGGAAGGCAGAUAAACCUUACAAUAUUGAAAGAGAACAUGACCUAUACAAUAAUUGAAGAGAAAGAGUAAGAUUAUAAAACUGUUUUCUUCUCCUUCCAUGUGAUCCCCAAUUUCUAACUCUAUGGGACCAGAUCCUGGCUUCCCUCACCUUCCUGGAGUCUUAACCUCCAUCCGCCUUGGGCUCUGCCUGGAAUUCCCAUCUAACCUCCCCCAGAUUUUUUUUUUUGUGUGUGUGUAUAAAUGGAGCAUAUUUUAUGUGCAAAUAUUUUAGUAACCGUAUGUUCUGCAAGUAAACCUGUGUUAACACUUGUCACACUGCAGAGUUUAUGAUACAAUAACACUUCCUACAAUGAAGAAAAAAACAUUUGUUUGUUUUCUAAGAAUGUUUAUUUGUAAACAUAUGUAUUCACUAUAUUAAUAUGAAUUUCUUACCUGGCAAUAAACUGAUUAUAUGUGA